rnacentral:rRNA from 1 species
GACAGAGGGGGCAAGCGUUGCUCGGAAUUACUGGGCGUAAAGGGCUCGUAGGCGGCCAACUAAGUCGGAUGUGAAAUCCCCAGGCUCAACCUGGGAACUGCAUCCGAUACUGGAUGGCUUGAAUCCGGGAGAGGGAUGCAGAAUUCCAGGUGUAGCGGUGAAAUGCGUAGAUAUCUGGAGGAAUACCGGUGGCGAAGGCGGCAUCCUGGACCGGCAUUGACGCUGAGGAGCGAAAGCUAGGGGAGCAAACGGGG